GGCCGCGGGAAUUCGAUUAGAGUUUGAUCCUGGCUCAGGGUAAACGCUGGCGGCGUGCGUAACACAUGCAAGUCGGACGGGUUAUACAUCUUCGGAUGUAUAAUCAGUGGCGAACGGGUGAGUAAAAGGUAGGGACCUACCCCGAGGACAGAGAUAGCUACUGGAAACGGUAGGUAAACUCUGAUAAGCCCGAGAGGGGAAAGUGGGAGUCAGCCUUGGGAUGGACCUACUAUCCAUCAGGUAGUUGGUGAGGUAAAGGCUUACCAAGCCGAUGACGGAUAACCGGUGUGAGAGCAUGUACGGUCACAAGGGCACUGAGACACGGGCCCUACUCCUACGGGAGGCAGCAGUGGGGAAUAUUGGACAAUGGGCGAAAGCCUGAUCCAGCGACGCCGCGUGAAGGAAGAAGUCCUUCGGGAUGUAAACUUCUGAACUAAUCGAAUAAGAGGGUAGUGGACACACUACAGAAGAAGGUAGAUUAGGAAAAGUCCCGGCUAACUACGUGCCAGCAGCCGCGGUAAGACGUAGGGGGCGAGCGUUGCCCGGAAUCACUGGGUGUAAAGGGGACGUAGGCGGAUGAUCAAGUCAUCUGUGAAAAGAUUGCUCAACGAUUGGCUUGCGGAUGAAACUGGUCAUCUUGGGCGUAGCAGAGGUAGACGGAAUUACCUGAGUAGGGGUGAAAUCCGCAGAUACAGGUAAGAAGGCCGGUGAAGAAGUUGGUCUACUGGGCUACAGCUGACGCUGAGGUCCGAAAGCCAGGGGAGCGAACCGGGUUAGAUACCCGGGUAGUCCUGGCUGUAAACGAUGCUCACUAGGUGUAGGGAGCGAAAGACUCUCUGUGCUGAAGCGAACGCGCUAAGUGAGCCACCUGGGGAGUACGUCCGCAAGGAUGAAACUCAAAGGAAUUGACGGGGGUCCGCACAAACGGUGGAGCAUGU
rnacentral:rRNA from 1 species